rnacentral:rRNA from 1 species
AAUGAACGCUGGCGGCAUGCCUAACACAUGCAAGUCGAACGAUGCUUUCGGGCAUAGUGGCGCACGGGUGCGUAACGCGUGGGAACCUGCCCUUUGGUUCGGAAUAACAGCGAGAAAUUGCUGCUAAUACCGGAUGAUGACGUUAAGUCCAAAGAUUUAUCGCCAGUGGAUGAGCCCGCGUAGGAUUAGCUGGUUGGUGUGGUAAAGGCGCACCAAGGCGACGAUCCUUAGCUGGUCUGAGAGGAUGAUCAGCCACACUGGGACUGAGACACGGCCCAGACUCCUACGGGAGGCAGCAGUGGGGAAUAUUGGACAAUGGGCGCAAGCCUGAUCCAGCAAUGCCGCGUGAGUGAUGAAGGCCUUAGGGUUGUAAAGCUCUUUUACCCGUGAUGAUAAUGACAGUAGCGGGAGAAUAAGCCCCGGCUAACUCCGUGCCAGCCGCCGCCGUAA